rnacentral:rRNA from 1 species
UACGUAGGGUGCGAGCGUUAAUCGGAAUUACUGGGCGUAAAGCGUGCGUAGGCGGUUCGUUAAGUCAGCUGUGAAAGCCCCGGGCUCAACCUGGGAACUGCGGUUGAAACUGGCGGACUAGAAUCUGGCAGAGGGGGGUGGAAUUCCACGUGUAGCAGUGAAAUGCGUAGAGAUGUGGAGGAACACCGAUGGCGAAGGCAGCCCCCUGGGCUGAGAUUGACGCUCAGGCACGAAAGCGUGGGGAGCAAACAGG